rnacentral:rRNA from 1 species
GGCGGCAGGCCUAAUACAUGCAAGUCGAGCGCGCCCUUCGGGGUGAGCGGCGGACGGGUGAGUAACGCGUGGGAAUAUGCCCUUCUCUAAGGAAUAGCCUCUGGAAACGGAGAGUAAUACCUUAUACGCCCUUUGGGGGAAAGAUUUAUCGGAGAAGGAUUAGCCCGCGUUAGAUUAGGUAGUUGGUGGGGUAAUGGCCUACCAAGCCUACGAUCUAUAGCUGGUUUGAGAGGAUGAUCAGCCACACUGGGACUGAGACACGGCCCAGACUCCUACGGGAGGCAGCAGUAGGGAAUCUUAGACAAUGGGGGCAACCCUGAUCUAGCCAUGCCGCGUGUGUGAUGAAGGCCCUAGGGUCGUAAAGCACUUUCGCCAGAGAUGAUAAUGACAGUAUCUGGUAAAGAAACCCCGGCUAACUCCGUGCCAGCAGCCGCGGUAAUACGGAGGGGGUUAGCGUUGUUCGGAAUUACUGGGCGUAAAGCGCACGUAGGCGGAUUAGUAAGUUAGAGGUGAAAUCCCAGGGCCCAACCCUGGAACUGCCUUUAAUACUGCUAGUCUUGAGUUCGAGAGAGGUAAGUGGAAUUCCGAGUGUAGAGGUGAAAUUCGUAGAUAUUCGGAGGAACACCAGUGGCGAAGGCGGCUUACUGGCUCGAUACUGACGCUGAGGUGCGAAAGUGUGGGGAGCAAACAGGAUUAGAUACCCUGGUAGUCCACACCGU